AGCCUGGUGGCGGAUGGUCCGCACCCACAUUUCAUUCAUGCCUUCGUGGAUACAUUGGUCUGUGGGAGGCCCCCGUUCGACUCGGGGCCAGGCUA